rnacentral:rRNA from 1 species
UUUGUAUAAUGGGUCAGCGACUUAUAUUCAGUGGCAAGGUUAACCAUCUAGGGGAGCCGUAGGGAAACCGAGUCUUAACUGGGCGUUCAGUCUCUGGAUAUAGACCCGAAACCAGGUGAUCUAGCCAUGGGCAGGUUGAAGGUUGAGUAACAUCAACUGGAGGACCGAACCGACUAAUGUUGAAAAAUUAGCGGAUGACUUGUGGCUAGGGGUGAAAGGCCAAUCAAACCUGGAGAUAGCUGGUUCUCCCCGAAAGCUAUUUAGGUAGCGCCUCGGACGAAUACUACUGGGGGUAGAGCACUGUUAAGGCUAGGGGGUCAUCCCGACUUACCAACCCUUUGCAAACUCCGAAUACCAGUAAGUACUAUCCGGGAGACACACGGCGGGUGCUAACGUCCGUCGUGGAGAGGGAAACAACCCAGACCGCCAGCUAAGGUCCCAAAUUACUACUAAGUGGGAAACGAUGUGGGAAGGCUCAGACAGCCAGGAUGUUGGCUUAGAAGCAGCCAUCAUUUAAAGAAAGCGUAAUAGCUCACUGGUCGAGUCGGCCUGCGCGGAAGAUGUAACGGGGCUAAGUAGUAAACCGAAGCUGCGGCAAUGUGCUUUUGCACAUUGGGUAGGGGAGCGUUCUGUAAGCGGUUGAAGGUGUGUGGUAACGCAUGCUGGACGUAUCAGAAGUGCGAAUGCUGACAUGAGUAACGAUAAAGGGGGUGAAAAACCUCCUCGCCGGAAGACCAAGGGUUCCUGUCCAACGUUAAUCGGGGCAGGGUAAGUCGACCCCUAAGGCGAGGCCGAAAGGCGUAGUCGAUGGGAAACGGGUUAAUAUUCCCGUACUUCUUACAAUUGCGAUGGGGGGACGGAGAAGGCUAGGUGGGCCUGGCGACGGUUGUCCAGGUUCAAGUGCGUAGGCUUAAGAGUUAGGUAAAUCCGGCUCUUUCUAAGGCUGAGACACGACGUCGAGCACCUACGGGUGUGAAGUCAUUGAUGCCAUGCUUCCAGGAAAAGCCUCUAAGCUUCAGAUUGUAAGGAAUCGUACCCCAAACCGACACAGGUGGUCGGGUAGAGAAUACCAAGGCGCUUGAGAGAACUCGGGUGAAGGAACUAGGCAAAAUGGUACCGUAACUUCGGGAGAAGGUACGCUCUUGAUGGUGAAGUCCCUCGCGGAUGGAGCUGACGAGAGUCGCAGAUACCAGGUGGCUGCAACUGUUUAUUAAAAACACAGCACUGUGCAAAAUCGUAAGAUGACGUAUACGGUGUGACGCCUGCCCGGUGCCGGAAGGUUAAUUGAUGGGGUUAGACUUCGGUCGAAGCUCUUGAUCGAAGCCCCGGUAAACGGCGGCCGUAACUAUAACGGUCCUAAGGUAGCGAAAUUCCUUGUCGGGUAAGUUCCGACCUGCACGAAUGGCGUAAUGAUGGCCACGCUGUCUCCACCCGAGACUCAGUGAAAUUGAAAUCGCUGUGAAGAUGCAGUGUACCCGCGGCUAGACGGAAAGACCCCGUGAACCUUUACUACAGCUUGGCACUGAACAUUGACCCUACAUGUGUAGGAUAGGUGGGAGGCUUUGAAGCAGGUACGCCAGUAUCUGUGGAGCCGUCCUUGAAAUACCACCCUUGUAGUGUU